rnacentral:rRNA from 1 species
AUUGAACGCUGGCGGCAGGCCUAACACAUGCAAGUCGAACGAGUGGCGGACGGGUGAGUAAUGUCUGGGAAACUGCCCGAUGGAGGGGGAUAACUACUGGAAACGGUAGAUAAUACCGCAUACCAUCGGAGGUGCCAAGAUGGGAUUAGAUAGUAGGUGGGGUAACGGCUCACCUAGGCGACGAUCCCUAGCUGGUCUGAGGGGAUGACCAGCCUCACUGGCACUGAGGCACGGGCCAUACUCCUACUGGUGGCAGCAGUGGGGAAUAUUGCACAAUGGGCGCAAGCCUGAUGCAGCCUUGCCGCGUGUAUGAAGAAGGCCUUCGGGUUUUAAAGUACUUUCAGCGAGGAGGCGUUACUCGCAGAAGAAGCACCGGCUAACUCCGUGCCAGCAGCCGCGGUAAUAC